rnacentral:rRNA from 1 species
UACAGAGGGUGCGAGCGUUGUCCGGAAUCACUGGGCGUAAAGGGCGCAUAGGCGGCUUGAUAAGCGUGCGGUGAAAGCCCGGGGCUCAACCCCGGGUCGGCCGUGCGAACUGUCGAGCUGGAGCACUGUAGAGGCAGGUGGAAUUCCGGGUGUAGCGGUGGAAUGCGUAGAGAUCCGGAAGAACACCGGUGGCGAAGGCGGCCUGCUGGGCAGUGGCUGACGCUGAGGCGCGACAGCGUGGGGAGCAAACAGG